GAGGUUCAGAGGAGCAGCGUGACCCGCGGGGGAUAACCUGGGAGAAAGAGGACGAGAGAAUCUGUGGAGAAAAGAACUAGCCCGCCGUCUCUUUUGACCUUUGAAGUCUCUACAGUAGAGCUUACAUCCCAGACCCUCCUGAAGCGUGGAGGUAGAGAACAGCAACGCCAUCAUGCAGAUGAUGCUGAAGGUGGUGAUGACCAGUAGACAGGAAUGGUGAUAAUGAUGAUGAUGGGGACAUGUCCAGAGAUGCAUGACUCUGGCCCCUUCCUGGGCCACCACACCUCGGGGGUCCUCCCAAUGGUCUUGGCUCUGUUGUUGGUUACAAGGUUCUUUGCCAUGAGAACUCAACAUUCUCCUGAUUUGAGAAGUCCCUGCUCAAACCUUCCUAAGUAAUCCCCAGCCAAGCCAAUCUCCUAUUUCCAUGGUCUUAGGAUCUGGGUUGUUUCCAGCUUUUAGCUAUUACAAAUAAAGUUACUAUAAAUAUUCAUACA
rnacentral:lncRNA from 1 species